GGGCCCGCACAAGCGGUGGAGUAUGUGGUUUAAUUCGAUGCAACGCGAAGAACCUUACCAGGGUUUGACAUCCUGCGAAUCUCUUGGAAACAGGAGAGUGCCUUCGGGAACGCAGUGACAGGUGGUGCAUGGCUGUCGUCAGCUCGUGUCGUGAGAUGUUGGGUUAAGUCCCGCAACGAGCGCAACCCACGUCUUUAGUUGCCAGCAUUUAGUUGGGCACUCUAGAGAGACCGCCGGUGACAAACCGGAGGAAGGUGUGGAUGACGUCAAGUCAUCAUGCCCCUUACGUCCUGGGCUACACACGUACUACAAUGCUACGGACAAAGAGCAGCUAACUCGCGAGGACAAGCAAAUCCCAUAAACCGUGGCUCAGUUCAGAUCGUAGGCUGCAACUCGCCUACGUGAAAGGCGGAAUCGCUAGUAAUCGCAGGUC
rnacentral:rRNA from 1 species